rnacentral:rRNA from 1 species
UACGUAGGGUGCGAGCGUUAAUCGGAAUUACUGGGCGUAAAGCGUGCGCAGGCGGUGAUGUAAGACAGAUGUGAAAUCCCCGGGCUCAACCUGGGAACUGCAUUUGUGACUGCAUCGCUGGAGUGCGGCAGAGGGGGAUGGAAUUCCGCGUGUAGCAGUGGAAUGCGUAGAGAUGUGGAGGAAUACCGAUGGCGAAGGCAGCCCCCUGGGAUAACACUGACGCUCAUGCACGAAAGCGUGGGGAGCAAACAGG